ensembl:lncRNA RAD21-AS1 RAD21 antisense RNA 1
AAGGGGGCUGGGCGGGUGGCGCCGCCGCUUGGGCGCCGGGAGGGUGGCAGCACGCGUGGGCGCGGCGAGGGCUGCCUUCUCCCUCGCCCUCCCGCCCCCAGGAGUCCGGCUCCCCGACGGCAGAGCGGCGGGGAAAGGGUGGGGGGAGGGAGCUGGAGGAAAAGAAGGGGUCGGCCGAGUCUCUUACCUUGCUCUCCGCUGGGAGUUGGGCGGGCUGGGUGGCCCGGGGAGGGGAAAAGGGUCGGGGGAGGGGGUGGGGAAAGGGGGGAGCCCUUGCGAGGUGUAGCUUCCGAGCAGCUCCCGCCGCCGCCACAGCCGGCGCCUCCUUUCCGAUUCACUCAAACAAACAAGAUGGCUGCCGUUACGCCGCGGCUCUUCCUGCCGCCCAAAUCCUCGGUUCAAAUCGGCAGGAUGUUUACGGUCAAAAUGGUACCUGUGCGCCUGCGCAGCCAGCCCAAGCCCCCCCCUCCCCCCAGAAGGAGCGGCGCAGGCGCAAUGACUAUUUCCUUUUCUUUGGAACCCGCCCUCUGUUUGUGGAGUCCACAACUGAGCAAGCGCAAAGAGAUCUUUCCAGUGAUGAAAGAAAUUGAAGAGGACACACAAAAAUGGAAAUAUAUUCCAUGUUCAUGGAUUGGAAGAAUCAAUAUUGUUAAAAUUUCCAUACUACCCAGAGCAAUCUACAGAUUCAAUGUAAUCCCUAUCAAAAUAUCAAUGACAUUCUUCACAGAAAGAGGAAAAAAAUCCUAAAAUUUAUAUGGAACCACAAUAAGACCAAGAAUAGCCAAAGCAAUCCUGAGCAAAAGAAUAAAGCUGGAGGCAUCACAUUACCUGACUUCAAAUUAUACUACAAAGUGAUAGUAAACAAAACAGCAUGGUGCUGGCAUAAAAACAGACACAUAGACUAACGGAACAGAAUAGAGGACCUAUAAAUAAAUCAAUACAUAUACAGUCAACUAAUUUCUGACAAAGCUGCCAAGAACAUACGUUGGGAAAAGGAUGGUCUCUUCCAAAAAUUGUUCUGGAAAAACUAGAUAACUAUAUGUAGAAGAAUGAAACAGAUCACUAUCUUUUGCCAUAUUAAAAAAAUCAAAACAAAAUGGCUUGAAGACUGGAAUCUAAGAUUUGAAACUAUUGAAACUACUAGAAGAAAACGUUAGGGAAAUGCUCCAGAACCAAAUAUUUCUUAGUAAGACCUUAAAAGCAUAGGCAAGCAAAGCAAAAAUGGACAAAUGGGAUCAUGCCAAGCUAAGAACCUUCUGCAAAGCAAACAACAAAGUGAAGAGACAACCCAUCAAGUGGGGGAAAAUACUUGCAAACUACUCAUCUAUCACAGAAUUAAUAGCCAUAAUAUAUAAGGAGCUCAAACAAUAUAAUAGGAAAAUAAUCCAAUUAAAAUUGAGCAAAAGACCUGAAUGGUUAUUUCUCAAAAAAGACAUACAAAUGGCCAACAGGGAUAUGAAAAAAUGCUUAACAUCACUAAUCAUCAGAGAAAUGCAUAUCAAAACUAGGAUGAGGUAUAAUCUCAUCCCAGUUGAAAUGGCUUUUAUCCAAAAUACAGGCAAUAAUGAAUGCUGAUAAAGAUGUGGAGAAAGAGAAACACUCGUACACUGUUGGUAGGAAUGUAUGUUAGUACAGCACUGUGAAGAACAGUAUAGAGAUUCCUUAAAAACCUAAAUAUAGAGCCACCAUAUGAGCCAGCAAUCCCACUCCUGAGUAAAUACCCCCCCCCAAAAAAAAAGGAAAUCAGUACAUCAGAGUGGUAUCUGCCCUCUCACAUUUAUUGCAGCAAGAUUCACAAUUGUCAAGAUAUGGUAUCAACGUAAGUGUCCAUCAGUGGAUAGAUGGGUAAAGAAAAUGUGGUACACAUACACAAGAUAAUAUUUUUCAGCCAUAAAAAAGAAAAAAAGUCCUUUCAUUUGCUGCAACAUGGAUAGAACUGGAAGACAUUAAGUGAAAUAAACCAGGCACAGAAAGACAUUAGUGUGAAUGUUCACACUAAUAUGUGGGAGC